CCGCUCUCCUUUUCAUGGCUUCCACUCUCCUUAGUGUUUUUUUUCUUUCGCAUACGUAAUCGACGCCUAUCAUUCCGUUCUGCCGUAAACUGCAUCAUAUCCACCAUCAUCGCGAAGAAAAGGGGAGUAUAAACAAGGAAACACCACCUGUAGCAGCGCAUCGUAACAGGUGGAGUUGCUGUGCACUGUCGAUCACGGUUCUGAAAGAAAGCAUACACCGACACCGACACCCACACGGACGCUGCUGUACAAGUGUUUAGCAGAACUGUAUCAGCUGCUGUUGAGUUUCUCUUUUUCUUUGUCUCCUUUACUUCCCUGCCGUCAUCUUUUCGUUGUUUUCUCCGCCCUUUUUGGUACCCUCCCUGCCUUUUUUAAACCGACCACCGCCUGCGGCACAGUUCAAAGAAAGCGAGAAGCACACUGCCGCACCGUUUGUGAUACACACACACACACACACACACACAUUUUUACCAUUGCAAGUGCCGAUCCAUUCGCUCGUUCACUGGAAUACGGCCACCUGCACCCCACAACUCCCCAACAUCGCAGCUGUCUUUUCUUCUGUUCUCGAUUCUGAAUUCUUUCUACUUUCUCAGGAGGAAAAGCACUGAAGGAUCUGCACUGCCAUCUGCUCCACCCGGUUCUGUGCGUGUGUGCGAGCGCGGGGAACUCAAUUCGGGCAUUAUCUUCAACCCCCUCGUUUUCGCACUCGGUGGUCUCAUUGCCUCCUUCUCUGCGUCACCCUGCAGUCGCUACCACUCUCGGCCCUCCCCCUCCUCGCCGCCCAGCACCCAACGUGUGUUAGGAACUCACGCGUGCAAACAAAGGGCGCAAUGAUGAGUGUGGACAAUUCCGAAAAUGCGUUCCGCAAUGUUAACAUGCGCGACCUGAUCACGCGCGCGGGGCACGAGCCGCCGCGCUCUGCUCUGUACGAGUACGUCAAGUCGCUCAAGAGCGAGAACUCUCAGAGCACCCCUCUGUCGCUGGCGUCCGACGACUCGUGGGACUCCACCACACACUCCACGUACAACAGCAUGGCGGACAACUUGUCGGAGUUGGGCGGCGUUACGGAGGACGCCGAGACGCGCGACUUGAUUUACAAGCUGUGUCACUCGCUGCACAAGAAGGCAGUGCAAAGGAUCGAGGGUUCCCGGCAGCAUCGCCAGAGGUCGGUGGAGGUGAACGUGGAGCAUGAGAAGAACAUGUCACAUAUCGGGGACUGGAUGCCGCUGCUGCACCUCUUCGACCCGCAGACGUUCUACGCGGUGCGAGGCACCCCCAUGACGCUUGCCGCCACUGCUGAGCGUCCGUUCAGCCUUAACGUGGCAGAAAACCCGAAGGAGGCUUCGCAGCUGCUUUUGGGCGAGCUGGACGUCGAGAAGCUGUCGGGCGGCAACAGCAACCACGUGUACCGCCUAGCACACCCCGACUUCCCCGGAAAGACGGUGCUGCUGCGCGUGUAUGGCAGUGGUGACAGCGAGGCGAUUGAUCGAUUCCGCGACGUGAUGGCGAUGCGCGAGAUGAGCCGGGCGAGGCUGAGCCCGGCCGUUCUGCACUCCUUCAAGUGGGGCCGUGUCGAGGAGUUCAUGGAAGGCGUCGCGACGUGCUCGACGGAUAUGCUGCUUCGCAGCCCGACCCUGCUGGCGGAGGUGUGGUUGCUGGUACACAAGAUGCACAGCCUGCCGUACGCCUCCUUUCUCCCGCAGAAUGUCAACAACGAGAAGAUCCGCCACUUACUGCACCCGGCUCUCGCACACUGCGAAUACGCCACCCCUGAAGAAUACUGCGACGUCUUAUCGAAGCGCCUGAAGAAAGUGGUCCUGACGAAAAAGAGCGACUACUACCUUGACAACACGAGCCAGAAGCUGAUGGAAGACGCGUGCCCGUCCUCCUUCGAGCGCACAUGCUUCCGCUUCCUGCGGCUCACCAGCAACCUCAUUCUGGAGUCCUACCGCGCCUCCUUCGUGUCCUUCAUUAGUGCCGAGGUGAUGCUGCUGCGCGAGCUCCUCAUGAAACGAGCGGUGCCACUCGUCUUCUCGCACAACGACUUGAACCCGGGCAACAUCCUCCUGGCGUGGCGCAAGGUGCCAAAGGAGAUGCGCCGGCAGGUUGCCAACGACGAGGAUGAAGAGGACGAGGUGAUGCCGGUGACCUCUGACCAGUCCACGGCCUUCAGUCGCAAGUUCCUGUCCAAGAAGGGCCAUCACCGAAACCUCGUGGACAUGAAGGGCAUCAUCUUCAUUGACUUCGAAUACACGGACGUGAACUACCGCUGCUUCGAUCUUGGCAACACGAUCUGCGAGCUCGACUACGACUACACCCGCGGCACCGCCGAGGGUGAGCCUGGCUUCAUCAAGUACCACUACACUUUUCCCCCGGAGGAGUACAGGGAGCAGUGGAAGGGACACCCAAUGACGUACCCGCGUUGCCAGGAGCUCAUUUACACCACAUGGCAGAAGAACGAACAGCAUCGCCAGCGACACGGCGGCGAGGCACCGCCAGCGCCGGCGCCGUCGGAGAUGCAUCUCGGGCAUAUCUGCUUGAAAGGGCUUCAGGCGUACUUCGCGGCCGCGGCACCCGCCGGCACCGCUCGUGACGCCGCUACCCCGAUCACCCGUGACGAGCUCACGGAGGUGUUUAUUGGCACUAUGUGCUCGCACCUGAGCUGGUCGCUGUGGUCCUUGGUGAUGUGCGCCAAUCCUGACGUUUGCACCAACAACGCUAACGAUGACCUCUUCGCCAAAGGGAGUAGCGGGCUCGACUACAUCUACUACGGCAACUGCCGCUUGCAGGAGUACGUGGCGCUGAAACAAUGGAUGCGAGACAAGCAGCUUAUCUGAGAGAGCACCCACGUACAGAGUUAAGGGUGCUACUUGUUUCCACCAUACCUACCUCCUUUCUAUUGAUGUGUGUGCCUGCGCUCCAUGCUUGCUUGUCUUUUCCACUUGCGGCCCCACCAGUGAGCACGCAUCUUCCGUGGCCCUCUUUUUCUGACCCCCUCGCGUGUGGAAGAGAAGUUAGAGUGCAACGGUUCUUCCUCCCUUUAUUUCAGCCUCUCUAUCCCCAUCGCCGAUCUGUAUGUGUAUUUGUGGCACUCGGCCAUCUCAACGCCUUUCGACUUGUUCUUUUUUGAUCCCCUCGAUUCCCCUCCCCUCCCCCCCCCCCCCACACACACCUUCUCUCCCUCGUCGUUCGACUGCUGUUUUGUUUUCUGUGUUUUCAUCUUUUUAUUGGGUGUGCUCCUCUUUCGCUGCUCGCCAUGUAUGUGUGUUCUUCCGACUUUUCUUCGGCUCCCCUCACGAAGUGAGGACGAUGGGGCGGCACGUGUGCGACGGAUACGUGAGGUGCAUCAUGUCUGUGUCUCUGGCUGUGUUCAUUCUCUCGAGUAAAAAGGAGUAACGCAAAAAGCACUGAGACAACGCGGUGCCCAAAACAUAUGUUGAAUAACUUUGGUGAUGCAUGCGCGCAUUCAGUCGGGGGAGUUACUCGCUCAUACGACGACAGUAUCUGUCCUUUUUCCUCUCCUAACGCGUCUUCCAGCCUCUGCGCGUCGGAACAGGUGUGCGAGCACGUUUCCUCGACACACCAACCUGCCCACCACGCAUGCACACAGCGACCGCAAGAAGGCUGUUCCUAUCGCGGUAAGCCUCUGUUUUCUUUCUCGAGUUACUGAAAUCGAAAGCGCGAGGGCGCCUGCACUGCUUUUCGAAGAACAAGCACAAGCCCACUGGGGGCGCACGGCGCUCCACCGUGCCUGUCUUUCCUUCGCCGCCCGCCAUGCUUACCGGCGCCGGUUUUGCCACCCCCCGCCCCCUCCAGGUGGUGGGCUCCUGCGCGCCUCUCCGCAACUUUUCCUUCGCCUCGUUGGUUCGCCUCGGCUGGUCGCCAGCUUCCCCUUCCCCUCGCUCCGCGAGGGCCGAGGCUGGUGGGGGUCCCUCGUGGGCCUCGCCGGUUCCCAAGGGGGUGCCCUCCCGCGGCCCCUUUGGGGGGGGGAGCUGGCGCGGGGGGCCCUGCCCGCGGCGGGGGCGCGCCGGGAAAACACACCGUUCCACGUUUUCGUUCUCGCGCGGUGGAGCACGAGCCCGGCACCACGCUACCCGGUCCCGGCGCCGGGCCCCCAUCGCGUGGUGCGAAGCAGCCGUGGGCACACACGCGUUGCAGCAACUGCGCCGAGCCGGCCACCUGAGCAGAGCCCCCCCUCCCCCGCCUCCAACUCCACCAAAUCACCCGCCCCGCAGGCCGCCUCACCGCCGCUCCCACCAUGGCAGUCGCCACGUGGUGCAUCCCCCUCGGGGUGGCGCACAGGUUACCCGCACCAGUGGGCAGCGAGGGGCCAGCUGCGAUACGCUUGGGUCGCACCGAUGCAACGCCACCCACAACCUGACCCUGUCACCACCAGACGCGGCUCAGCAUUUGGCAGGGGAUAGGGAGGGAGAGAGGGAAGGGGAGGGGGCUGCUUGGCUUCCCCGCGGAGAGUGGGGUUGCUGGACUCUGACGCGUACCACGCGCUGGGAGGCGUCCCCCCCCCCCAUGCCAUCAGGGCGGAGAAGUCGCUGAAGCGAGAGACCGACAAACUACUCACGUGGAGCACCGAAAAGCAAAACUGCACGUUCGAUCUCAAAUCAUUAUUGCCGCCUUAGAGCAGCUGUGGAGGCUGCCGUUGUUGUUGUUGGCUGCUCCAUUCCUGCGCACCCAUCCAAUGGGUACGGGCCGCGCAUGCUACUCAGUGUUCAUUGCAGCCGCCGCCGCAGCGGGGCCCAGCGGCACGCCGUACUCUACACGGGGGCCGUGCGUAUCAACCGACUUGCUUGUCGACGCGGCGCGUACCCGGGCUAACACAAGGUAAAGGAAAAGAGGGCGUUACCGCGACAGCGCAGUGCGGUAUGUAUAUGUGUGUGUGUGCGUGUGCAUGUGUAGAAACGAUGGUGCACCGCAGAUAUCCGAGCCACCACCAGACAAACGAGAGAGGGAAAAGGUUGUGGGCGCUUGGGGCAUUGAGUGAAAGGUAGACGCGAGUGGGGACCGAGGAGACUCGAUGAGGGGUACUCGACAAUGCUCAGCUGUCGUGGUGCUUCUCUCAGAUCCGUCACGCACGCACACCCGCACAAUCGUACUGACCGCAUUCCGCAGUGGAGCGGUGGCCAUCAAACCUGACUUCAACAUAAGGGCAGACGAAGAUUUGCUGAGGGAAGCAUUUGCUGUCUUGAUUUUU
rnacentral:misc_RNA from 1 species